rnacentral:rRNA from 1 species
AGCGGCAGCGGGAAAGUAGCUUGCUACUUUUGCCGGCGAGCGGCGGACGGGUGAGUAAUGCCUGGGAAAUUGCCCAGUCGAGGGGGAUAACAGUUGGAAACGACUGCUAAUACCACAUACGCCCUACGGGGGAAAGCAGGGGACCUUCGGGCCUUGCGCGAUUGGAUAUGCCCAGGUGGGAUUAGCUAGUUGGUGAGGUAAUGGCUCACCAAGGCGACGAUCCCUAGCUGGUCUGAGAGGAUGAUCAGCCNCACUGGAACUGAGACACGGUCCAGACUCCUACGGGAGGCAGCAGUGGGGAAUAUUGCACAAUGGGGGAAACCCUGAUGCAGCCAUGCCGCGUGUGUGAAGAAGGCCUUCGGGUUGUAAAGCACUUUCAGCGAGGAGGAAAGGUUGAUGCCUAAUACGUAUCAACUG